rnacentral:rRNA from 1 species
GUACGUGAAACCGUUCAGGGGUAAACGGGAGAAAUCCUGAAUUCGAAAGGGAUCGGAUUCAAGUCCGCCCGGCUGCACAGGACGCCUGGCCCCGCCAGAUGGCGCCGGUCGCCCGCGGCGAUUCAUUUCGCUUGUGGUGUCGUUCCCGGCGAUCACUCGGUGAGGUGGCGAUGCUCUGGCACCGGAGGAGUGCACUUCCCCCCUAGUAGAAACGUCGCGACCCGUUGGGUGCCGGUCCAAGGCCCGGGAAGGCAGACCGCGUGUCCUGUGGGGGUUCUCACAGGCGUGCGGACUCCUGGUGACCCGGCCGGCUGCUCGACGGUAUGACCAGAGGAGUCGAUCCGCUGAAUGUGAAACACUUUGGAUGUGUAGCGUCCGGCCCGGCGCCGAUGCGUGCGGGGAUUGAGGUGCAAACCGGGGGUGUCCGUGCGAAGCACGGCCCCGGCCCCGCUGCGUUUUCGGAUUGUCGGUGUCCUCGGACUGGAUCGUUACUCCCGUCUGCGACGCCCACCUUCGGAUGG